rnacentral:rRNA from 1 species
CUGUAGGGCCUACCCGGGAGACGCGGGUAAGCCUGCCGGCGGCCCACGAAACUCUGUUUAAUAUUGAAUUCUGAACAUAUAACUAAAUAAGUUAAAACUUUCAACAACGGAUCUCUUGGUUCUGGCAUCGAUGAAGAACGCAGCGAAAUGCGAUAAGUAAUGUGAAUUGC